rnacentral:ncRNA from 1 species
GAGAGCACAGCACGAUGAAAGUUGUAAGCUGUGUUUGGGGGGGGUUAUUGUCUAUCGUUGGCCUCUAUGGUAGAACCCGUCGGGGAGGCCUGAGAGGCGGUGGUUUACCCUGU